AGUGAACGCUGGCGGCGUGCUUAACACAUGCAAGUCGAACGAGAACGGAAUAUAGCUUGCUAUAUUUGUCAGCUAAGUGGCGCGCGGGUGAGUAAUGUAUAGAUAACCUGCCCUUAAGAAAGGAAUAGCAGUUGGAAACGACUGCUAAUGCCCUAUAUGCCUUUAAUACAUAAGUAUGCAAGGGAAACGCUUUAGUGCUUAAGGAUGGGUCUGUAUGGUAUCAGCUUGUUGGUGAGGUAAUGGCUCACCAAGGCUAUGACGCCUAACUGGUUUGAGAGGAUGAUCAGUCGCACUGGAACUGAGACACGGUCCAGACUCCUACGGGAGGCAGCAGUGGGGAAUAUUGCACAAUGGACGAAAGUCUGAUGCAGCAACGCCGCGUGGAGGAUGACACAUUUCGGUGCGUAAACUCCUUUUAUAUAGGAAGAUAAUGACGGUACUAUAUGAAUAAGCACCGGCUAACUCCGUGCCAGCCGCCGCAGUAAAAC
rnacentral:rRNA from 1 species